rnacentral:rRNA from 1 species
GAUGAACGCUGGCGGCGUGCCUAAUACAUGCAAGUCGAACGGUGAAAGCGGAGCUUGCUCCGCUGGAUCAGUGGCGAACGGGUGAGUAACACGUGGGCAACCUGCCCCUCACUUCGGGAUAACUCCGGGAAACCGGGGCUAAUACCGGAUAUGACCUCCUUGGGCAUCCUUGGAGGUGGAAAGUUUUUCGGUGAGGGAUGGGCCCGCGGCCUAUCAGCUUGUUGGUGCGGUAGUGGCUCACCAAGGCGACGACGGGUAGCCGGCCUGAGAGGGCGACCGGCCACACUGGGACUGAGACACGGCCCAGACUCCUACGGGAGGCAGCAGUGGGGAAUAUUGCGCAAUGGGCGGAAGCCUGACGCAGCAACGCCGCGUGCGGGAUGACGGCCUUCGGGUUGUAAACCGCUUUCAGCAGGGAAGAAGCCGCAAGGUGACGGUACCUGCAGAAGAAGCACCGGCUAACUACGUGCCAGCAGCCGCCGCCG